AAUUAAAAAAAAAAAAAAAGAAGAAAACAGAGUUGCCGAGAAACAGAGAAUGCUGUCGCCACUGUCCCUUCAACACCAAUCACCGUUCGUUCACCAAAUGGACCCGCCGCCACUGUCAAUCCACCGGCGACGUCUAGGCCACCUUUUCGGCGACAUUCCGAUCACCUGCAGCUGCCUAGAAAAGAAGAUCCGAUUGGGUCAAAUCUUGACCCAAAUCUGGACUCGCAAAUUUUCCAAAUUUCUCUUGCAUCUGAUCCAUACCAGUAGCUCUCCUGUCUCUGAUCUGCCCAUUCUAGCUGUUCGGAAACUCAUUCCUACACGUCCAGCUUUAAAAUUUGACGGGUCAGGUAAGAUCCGCCCCAAACCAGGUUGUGCUCACCAAGUCUUUCUGAGCUCCUAUUUGCAUCAGAUUUCUAGUGCAUCGACAACUGCUACAUCAACUCUCUUUGGCCACAUCACUACCACGUCACCUAUCCAACAAUAGAUUGUGCUACAACUAAAAGGAGAAAUUUGAGUUUUCUUUGGAUGAGGGGCGAUUUGAAAUUUUGU
rnacentral:misc_RNA from 1 species